AGUGAACGCUGGCGGUAGGCCUACACAUGCAAGUCGAACGGCAGCACCGUAAGAGCUUGCUCUUACGGGUGGCGAGUGGCGGACGGGUGAGGAAUACAUCGGAAUCUACUUUUUCGUGGGGGAUAACGUAGGGAAACUUACGCUAAUACCGCAUACGACCUACGGGUGAAGGCAGGGGAUCUUCGGACCUUGCGCGAUUGAAUGAGCCGAUGUCGGAUUAGCUAGUUGGCGGGGUAAAGGCCCACCAAGGCGACGAUCCGUAGCUGGUCUGAGAGGAUGAUCAGCCACACUGGAACUGAGACACGGUCCAGACUCCUACGGGAGGCAGCAGUGGGGAAUAUUGGACAAUGGGCGCAAGCCUGAUCCAGCCAUACCGCGUGGGUGAAGAAGGCCUUCGGGUUGUAAAGCCCUUUUGUUGGGAAAGAAAAGCAGCAGGUUAAUACCCCGCUGUUCUGACGGUACCCAAAGAAUAAGCACCGGCUAACUUCGUG
rnacentral:rRNA from 1 species